GCUUGACCUCUCUCUCUCUCUCUCUCUCUCAAAUUUGGCUUAGACAUUUCUUUCUUUGAUCGCUUCUUAUCAUCUCGUCUGUUGUGCACUUUUGCUAGUGAUGUGUAUAUGACAAAUGCGUUUUGAUAAUAAUUAGUUGUGUGUUUUUCUAUGUUAUGUGGAAGUGGGUGCUUGCUUACGCAUAAGAAUGUUUGUUUUAAGGCUUUUUUUUUAGAAGUUUGGUGGAGAUAAGCUCAGAUUUCUAUAGUUGGGUUUAUAAUACUAAUAAAUGUAAUUUGGUUAAGUGUGCUGUAAUGUUGAAUUCUUCUAGUGCGAUCUAGGGAAAGCGCGAGUUUUGAUGAUCAUGAACCCCAACCGAAAGAUGAUAUCAAAUAUCAUGUGGGAAGACAUUUCAAGGAUAUAUCUAAUUCAAGGUUUAUCGGAAGUGUACAGAUACUUACACAUUUGUAAGCAUGGUGGAUUAAGUGGCUAGACAAGGAGCCAAAGAUUGGCAAAAUCACUAUGAUCAGAAUCCACAGAUGCACCAGCACUUCCUCUCGUCUCUUUGCAUAUCAUAUAAACCGAGAACAUUUCUCAGGUAUUUCGUCUCUACAUUUUUAGGCAAGAACUUGAUUCAUGUUGAUGCAUGGUGUCAGUCAAAAGGUGUGUGUGUGUUGUGCUCUCCAAUUGAUGUGUCUCCCAUUUUGUUUCAUUUGGGUUUUUAAUCCACAUUAUAUGCUAGAACCUGUAACCAAGCUUA
rnacentral:sRNA from 1 species